CAGGUUUUUAUUUCUAUAUUGGUUGUGUUCUUGCUUUUAUUAUAUUCAGCAUUCAUAUUGUUUGGAUAUCUUUUGAUGGCAAAUAUUAAUGUUUUGAUGGUAUCUUUUGAUGGCAGAUAUUAAUGAUUGGUUGUCUGUUGUUGUUAUUCCUGUUGGUGCAUAGGUACAAUCAUCUCUAACCUCGCAGAUGUGGUUCUUUCGUCUCUCUACAACAACAAAGCCAAGAAUGUGUUGCAGGCUGUGAGGAACAUUGGGUUUGUUGCUGAACUAGUGAUGAGUGGAACGCCCGUUGACGACAAAAAGCUUGAAGCUUUGUUCACAUCUGAUGCAUGGUUUGGUUCAUUGCAAUGGUUUUGGUCAUUUGCUCUGUAUCUCUACACAUUGUUUAGUGAUUUUGAGAUUGAAUCACAUAAAUUUUGACACUAUUAUAAACUUUUUGUUUUUGGGUUUCUUUGGUAAACAUUGAAUUUGAGUAUUUCUUUUUAAGAACCCCCAAAUUUAACAAUC